rnacentral:rRNA from 1 species
UACGUAGGGUGCGAGCGUUGUCCGGAAUUAUUGGGCGUAAAGAGCUCGUAGGCGGCCUGUCGCGUCGGUUGUGAAAGCCCGGGGCUUAACCCCGGGUCUGCAGUCGAUACGGGCAGGCUAGAGUUCGGUAGGGGAGAUCGGAAUUCCUGGUGUAGCGGUGAAAUGCGCAGAUAUCAGGAGGAACACCGGUGGCGAAGGCGGGUCUCUGGGCAACAACUGACGCUGAGGAGCGAAAGCGUGGGGAGCGAACAGG